AGAGUUUGAUCCUGGCUCAGGACGAACGCUGGCGGCGCGCCUAACACAUGCAAGUCGAACGGAGCUGAGAGGAGCUUGCUUUUCUCAGCUUAGUGGCGAACGGGUGAGUAACGCGUGAGUAACCUGCCCUGGAGUGGGGGACAACAGUUGGAAACGACUGCUAAUACCGUAUAAGCCCACGAUCCGGCAUCGGAUUGAGGGAAAAGGAUUUAUUCGCUUCAGGAUGGACUCGCGUCCAAUUAGCUAGUUGGUGAGGUAACGGCCCACCAAGGCGACGAUUGGUAGCCGGACUGAGAGGUUGAACGGCCACAUUGGGACUGAGACACGGCCCAGACUCCUACGGGAGGCAGCAGUGGGGGAUAUUGCACAAUGGGGGAAACCCUGAUGCAGCGACGCCGCGUGGAGGAAGAAGGUUUUCGGAUUGUAAACUCCUGUCGUUAGGGACGAUAAUGACGGUACCUAACAAGAAAGCACCGGCUAACUACGUGCCAGCAGCCGCGGUAAAACGUAGGGUGCAAGCGUUGUCCGGAAUUACUGGGUGUAAAGGGAGCGCAGGCGGACCGGCAAGUUGGAAGUGAAAACUAUGGGCUCAACCCAUAAAUUGCUUUCAAAACUGCUGGCCUUGAGUAGUGCAGAGGUAGGUGGAAUUCCCGGUGUAGCGGUGGAAUGCGUAGAUAUCGGGAGGAACACCAGUGGCGAAGGCGACCUACUGGGCACCAACUGACGCUGAGGCUCGAAAGCAUGGGUAGCAAACAGGAUUAGAUACCCUGGUAGUCCAUGCCGUAAACGAUGAUUACUAGGUGUUUGGAGGAUUGACCCCUUCAGUGCCGCAGUUAACACAAUAAGUAAUCCACCUGGGGAGUACGACCGCAAGGUUGAAACUCAAAGGAAUUGACGGGGGCCCGCACAAGCAGUGGAGUAUGUGGUUUAAUUCGAAGCAACGCGAAGAACCUUACCAGGUCUUGACAUCCGAUGCAUAGUGCAGAGAUGCAUGAAGUCCUUCGGGACAUCGAGACAGGUGGUGCAUGGUUGUCGUCAGCUCGUGUCGUGAGAUGUUGGGUUAAGUCCCGCAACGAGCGCAACCCUUAUUGCCAGUUACUACGCAAGAGGACUCUGGCGAGACUGCCGUUGACAAAACGGAGGAAGGUGGGGAUGACGUCAAAUCAUCAUGCCCUUUAUGACCUGGGCUACACACGUACUACAAUGGCGUUUAACAAAGAGAAGCAAGACCGCGAGGUGGAGCAAAACUCAAAAACAACGUCUCAGUUCAGAUUGCAGGCUGCAACUCGCCUGCAUGAAGUCGGAAUUGCUAGUAAUCGCGGAUCAGCAUGCCGCGGUGAAUACGUUCCCGGGCCUUGCACUCACCGCCCGUCA
rnacentral:rRNA from 1 species